GUGCCCGUAGCUCAGGGGACAGAGCAUCGCCCUUCUAAGGCGAGGGUCGCGUGUUCAAAUCACGCCGGGCACA
rnacentral:tRNA from 1 species